GUGCUUGCUUUGGCAGCACAUACACUAAAAUUAGAAUGAUACAGAGAGGAUUAGCAUGGCCCCUGCGAAAUUAAAAAAAAUUAACAAAGAAAAAAAAGAAAACUAUU